GCGGGCGCUGCAGGAUUUCAGUCCUUCACGUCGUAGUGUGUUACCAACUGUUUUCUUGGUGACUAUGGUCCCAGCUGCCUUGAGAUUAUUGACAAGAUCCUCCCGUGCAGUUCUGGGCUGAUUCCUCACCGUUCUCAUCAUUGCAACUCCACGAGGCCAAGCCGGCUUGAGCUGCUCUACCGCUCUUGUUCUCAGAAGCUACCUGCCCACAACGCAAGGGGAAACCCGGGAGAUCCGGAGGAAAAUCCACGCGACCACGGAGAGAGAGACACGCAAACUCCA